AAAAGAACGUAUGUGAGAUGCUGUAGAAAUAUACCAUUCAAAGAUUGGGUCUAAAAGGUAAAGUACAAUGAGAUAUUUUAUAACAUUUUUAGCCCUCUGAGAAGAAAACCUAAUGCUAAAAUAGUUUAUUAUAAUGUAUUUUUCUUAUUACUAUUUAUCACAAUUAAUAGUGACAAACAUACUAUAUGAUUAUUUAUCUAGUGUAGAUUUAUUCCAGUAUACUGUAUUCUCCCUGAGUUUUUUUCUCUUCUUUUAACCAAUCUUCCAUAAGAACCUAGGAAAGUAACUAGCACUUAGAUGGGUUCAAUAAAUGUGUUGAAUGAAUUAAUGAAUUUGUGUGACUAUUCCUAUAGAAAAGCUACUGUGGUGUUAGGUUGAAAAAUAUGCACAUUUUAAAUAUUGACAGAUGCAGUCAAAUUGCUCUCCAAGAAGCAUAAAUCCCAUUCUCGAGGUAUUGGGAAAAAUCUAAAAAGGAGCCAACCUGUAUACAUUUUGUAAUGCACUGUUUUUUAAAGGAAAGAAUGAGAACCAUGACAAAUACAGGAAGGCAACAGAGGAGGCUUUCAUGGACCUUUCAUGACAGUGAUCAACUCAACUCUGAGCAUGAGAUUAUCCUCAUAUUCUAA
rnacentral:lncRNA from 1 species